rnacentral:rRNA from 1 species
AACAAAGAGUGCAAACGUUGUUCGGAAUUACUGGGCGUAAAACGCAUGUAGGCUGCUCGGAAAGUCGGAUGUGAAAGCCCUGGGCUCAACCCAGGAAGUGCACUCGAAACUCCCGAGCUGGAGUUCUGGAGAGGAAAACGGAAUUCUCGAUGUAGAGGUGAAAUUCGUAGAUAUCGAGAGGAACAUCGGUGGCAAAGACAGCCUUCUGGACAGAAACUGACACUGAGACGCGAAAGCGUAAAAAACAAACAGG